AGCGGCGGCGGCGGCGGCUGGCCGCGGCCUCUCCACUGCUCCUCAGCAACAGUUUUCUUCAAAGGUCGCGCUCGCAGCUGAAGCCGAGCCUUGUGUGCGUCCACCUGCUCUCAUUGGCCCCUGCGUGCGGUGCAGUCGCAUCCAGCAAUACAUAGUGAACAAACUCCGUCGCCAAGCAGCCCUCAACCUUUUCAUCCCUGUUCACUGGCCUCCCUCCCUGCCCUGGGCCCUCUGGUCCCCCAUGGAACGGGCACCGCCGCUUGUAACGGUGGGUUCACAGAGUCCCUCCCUGGAGCUGCGAGCUAAGUGUCGGGUUUGUGGAUGGCCUGGGCCCCUUAUCCACACGCAGACUCCUGACCACGGUCUUGUUCCUUGGGGCUCUGCUCACACAGCACAUGGUCUGUCUCCUUGUCCCUGGCUGACACUAGUCUCUGCCUCUUCACCCCAGCAUGCAGGUAGUGACUGUCCCCUUGUUAGGCAGAAAGACAGAUAUGAGCUAGGUGGAGAGAGAAUAAAGCCAGUAAAGCCCACUAAAAGGGACUCAAAGAGUUAACCAGAUAAAAACAGAGAGGCAGAAAGGACUCACAGAGUCAAUUAGUUGAAGUUUCAAGGGCCAGGAGUGACUUGGAAUGUCCAGACACUCCCCAGAUGAAAAACAGCUUCCCAGAUGAGAAGCUUCCAAGCACAGACACUCCCCCAGAUAAAGAAAACAUCAGAGACCAGGCACAGCAAACAUCAGAGUGCUGCCCAUGUCUCCUUUUUACCAAUUAACCAGGCCUCCAAGGUCAAAGGCCAAAGAUUGUCAGUCAAGGACUUCUCUGCCCUGCCAAAAACCCCAUAAAAAGAAGCCUCACAGUAAACAGCUUGCCUGUCUAAUCUUAGUCAGGCCCACUCUGUUACCCUGUACAGAGUGAAAUAAAAUUUACUUUGCCUUCCUGA